GAUGAGCGCUGGCGGCGUGCCUAAUACAUGCAAGUCGAGCGAACGGACGAGAAGCUUGCUUCUCUGAUGUUAGCGGCGGACGGGUGAGUAACACGUGGAUAACCUACCUAUAAGACUGGGAUAACUUCGGGAAACCGGAGCUAAUACCGGAUAAUAUUUUGAACCGCAUGGUUCAAAAGUGAAAGACGGUCUUGCUGUCACUUAUAGAUGGAUCCGCGCUGCAUUAGCUAGUUGGUAAGGUAACGGCUUACCAAGGCAACGAUGCAUAGCCGACCUGAGAGGGUGAUCGGCCACACUGGAACUGAGACACGGUCCAGACUCCUACGGGAGGCAGCAGUAGGGAAUCUUCCGCAAUGGGCGAAAGCCUGACGGAGCAACGCCGCGUGAGUGAUGAAGGUCUUCGGAUCGUAAAACUCUGUUAUUAGGGAAGAACAUAUGUGUAAGUAACUGUGCACAUCUUGACGGUACCUAAUCAGAAAGCCACGGCUAACUACGUGCCAGCAGCCGCGGUAAUACGUAGGUGGCAAGCGUUAUCCGGAAUUAUUGGGCGUAAAGCGCGCGUAGGCGGUUUUUUAAGUCUGAUGUGAAAGCCCACGGCUCACCCGUGGAGGGUCAUUGGAAACUGGAAAACUUGAGUGCAGAAGAGGAAAGUGGAAUUCCAUGUGUAGCGGUGAAAUGCGCAGAGAUAUGGAGGAACACCAGUGGCGAAGGCGACUUUCUGGUCUGUAACUGACGCUGAUGUGCGAAAGCGUGGGGAUCAAACAGGAUUAGAUACCCUGGUAGUCCACGCCGUAAACGAUGAGUGCUAAGUGUUAGGGGGUUUCCGCCCCUUAGUGCUGCAGCUAACGCAUUAAGCACUCCGCCUGGGGAGUACGACCGCAAGGUUGAAACUCAAAGGAAUUGACGGGGACCCGCACAAGCGGUGGAGCAUGUGGUUUAAUUCGAAGCAACGCGAAGAACCUUACCAAAUCUUGACAUCCUUUGACAACUCUAGAGAUAGAGCUUUCCCCUUCGGGGGACAAAGUGACAGGUGGUGCAUGGUUGUCGUCAGCUCGUGUCGUGAGAUGUUGGGUUAAGUCCCGCAACGAGCGCAACCCUUAAGCUUAGUUGCCAUCAUUAAGUUGGGCACUCUAAGUUGACUGCCGGUGACAAACCGGAGGAGGGUGGGGAUGACGUCAAAUCAUCAUGCCCCUUAUGAUUUGGGCUACACACGUGCUACAAUGGACAAUACAAAGGGCAGCGAAACCGCGAGGUCAAGCAAAUCCCAUAAAGUUGUUCUCAGUUCGGAUUGUAGUCUGCAACUCGACUACAUGAAGCUGGAAUCGCUAGUAAUCGUAGAUCAGCAUGCUACGGUGAAUACGUUCCCGGGUCU
rnacentral:rRNA from 1 species